GCUUCCGUAGCGCAGCAGGUAGCGCAUCAGUCUUAUAAUAUGAAGUUCGCGAGUUCGAGCCUCACCGGGAGCA
rnacentral:tRNA from 1 species